GUCCCUGUAGCGCAAUGGACAGCGCGUUGGACUUCUAAUCUAAAGGUCAUGGGUUUGAAUCCCUCCUGGGAUG
rnacentral:tRNA from 1 species